rnacentral:rRNA from 1 species
UACGUAGGGGGGCAAGCGUUUGUCCGGAUUUAUUGGGCGUAAAGAGCUCGUAGGCGGUGUGUCACGUCGUUCGUGAAAACCUGCAGCUUAACUGUGGGCGUGCGGUCGAUACGGGCAUCACUGGAGUUCGGCAGGGGAGACUGGAAUUCCCUGGUGUAGCGGUGAAAUGCGCAGAUAUCAGGAGGAACACCGGUGGCGAAGGCGGGUCUCUGGGCCGAUACUGACGCUGGAGGAGCGAAAGCGUGGGGAGCAAACACGG